AAGCACUGCCUUUGAACCUGAUAUGUCUUGUUUGUAGCUUCACGGGCCAAGCAACAGUGCUAGAGCAUAACGACUUGUUAUAACUGGGGCUCUUCAGCUCUCAACUGAACUGCUCUUUUAAAAACAAGGUACAUUU
ensembl:snoRNA